CGGCUGCAAGCGCGAGCUAAGGGACUCACUUGAAGAUGCAGUGAGUUGUCAGAGUUCUCCAUGACAAUGGAGAGAAGGGUAGAAGGAGGAGAACUGACUCCAAACACCAAAAAGGUAAUGGAGGAGAUAAAAGGGAAAAGAUAAAGGAAACCUUUAAGUGGGACUCCAGGUUUCUGAGCUCAGUUUCAUUAAGUUUUCCUCUAUGUUCAGUGGGAUCUCUCUUCUGUUUGGUUUGGAUGAUGAGUUUGAGAUUCCUCUCAAGUCCUCUCAAGCACGAAGCAGUAAGUAAAUACUUUUUAGAAAUUGAGCAGUUCUUUGCAACCCCAUCCCCUCCUAUCUCAGUCUUGUUCUGUGUUCCAGGAAAACAGUGUACAAGCAGUGACGUCAGAGGUGGCUUUACAUUGAUAUGCCAGUCCAUCAUCCCCUCUGCUUCUCUCUUAAGGUGUAAAGCACUCAUCUUGGCUAAUAAAUGGGUACAAAAGGAAA